AUCAACUUUCGAUGGUAGGAUAGAGGCCUACCAUGGUUUUAACGGGUAACGGGGAAUUAGGGUUCGAUUCCGGAGAGGGAGCCUGAGAAACGGCUACCACAUCCAAGGAUGGCAGCAGGCGCGCAAAUUACCCAAUCCCGACACGGGGAGGUAGUGACAAUAAAUAACAAUACGGGGUUCUUUCGGAUCUCGUAAUUGGAAUGAGUACAAUUUAAAUCCCUUAACGAGGAACAAUUGGAGGGCAAGUCUGGUGCCAGCAGCCGCGGUAAUUCCAGCUCCAAUAGCGUAUAUUAAAGUUGUUGCAGUUAAAAAGCUCGUAGUUGAAUUUCGGGAUUUGCACAUCGGUCGUGCCUUAAGGGGUAUGAACUGGUGUAGUGAAUUUCUCACCUUCUGGAGAACCGCGAUGUCCUUAAUUGGGUGCCGCGAGGAACCAGGACCUUUACUUUGAAAAAAUUAGAGUGUUUAAAGCAGGCAUUUUUGCUUGAAUACAUUAGCAUGGAAUAAUAAAAUAGGACGGCAUGAUUCUAUUUUGUUGGUUUCUAGGAUCACCGUAAUGAUUAAUAGGGAUAGUUGGGGGCAUUAGUAUUCAAUUGUCAGAGGUGAAAUUCUUGGAUUUAUUGAAGACUAACUACUGCGAAAGCAUUUGCCAAGGAUGUUUUCAUUAAUCAAGAACGAAAGUUAGGGGAUCGAAGACGAUCAGAUACCGUCGUAGUCUUAACCAUAAACUAUGCCGACUAGGGAUCGGAUGAUGUUAAUUUUAUAAUGACUCAUUCGGCGCCUUACGGGAAACCAAAGUGUUUGGGUUC
rnacentral:rRNA from 1 species